rnacentral:rRNA from 1 species
UACAGAGGUGCCAAGCGUUGUUCGGAUUUAUUGGGCGUAAAGGGUGCGUAGGCGGCGGAGUAAGUUGGGUGUGAAAUCCCGGGGCUUAACCUCGGAAUUGCAUUCAAUGCUGCUUCGCUUGAGUACUGGAGAGGAGGCUGGAAUUUACGGUGUAGCAGUGAAAUGCGUAGAUAUCGUAAGGAAGGCCGGUGGCGAAAGCGAGCCUCUGGACAGUUACUGACGCUGAUGCACGAAGGCCAGGGGAGCAAACGGG